rnacentral:rRNA from 1 species
UACGUAGGGUGCGAGCGUUAAUCGGAAUUACUGGGCGUAAAGCGUGCGCAGGCGGUUCGUUGUGUCUGAUGUGAAAGCCCCGGGCUCAACCUGGGAAUGGCAUUGGAAACUGGCGAGCUGGAGUGUGGCAGAGGGGGGUGGAAUUCCGCGUGUAGCAGUGAAAUGCGUAGAGAUGCGGAGGAACACCGAUGGCGAAGGCAGCCCCCUGGGCCAACACUGACGCUCAGGCACGAAAGCCAGGGGAGCGAACGGG